rnacentral:rRNA from 1 species
AAAUUGAAGAGUUUGAUCAUGGCUCAGAUUGAACGCUGGCGGCAGGCCUAACACAUGCAAGUCGAACGGUAACAGGAAGCAGCUUGCUGCUUCGCUGACGAGUGGCGGACGGGUGAGUAAUGUCUGGGAAACUGCCUGAUGGAGGGGGAUAACUACUGGAAACGGUGGCUAAUACCGCAUAACGUCGCAAGACCAAAGAGGGGGACCUUCGGGCCUCUUGCCAUCAGAUGUGCCCAGAUGGGAUUAGCUUGUUGGUGGGGUAACGGCUCACCAAGGCGACGAUCCCUAGCUGGUCUGAGAGGAUGACCAGCCACACUGGAACUGAGACACGGUCCAGACUCCUACGGGAGGCAGCAGUGGGGAAUAUUGCACAAUGGGCGCAAGCCUGAUGCAGCCAUGCCGCGUGUAUGAAGAAGGCCUUCGGGUUGUAAAGUACUUUCAGCGGGGAGGAAGGUGUUGUGGUUAAUAACCACAGCAAUUGACGUUACCCGCAGAAGAAGCACCGGCUAACUCCGUGCCAGCAGCCGCGGUAAUACGGAGGGUGCAAGCGUUAAUCGGAAUUACUGGGCGUAAAGCGCACGCAGGCGGUCUGUCAAGUCGGAUGUGAAAUCCCCGGGCUCAACCUGGGAACUGCAUUCGAAACUGGCAGGCUUGAGUCUUGUAGAGGGGGGUAGAAUUCCAGGUGUAGCGGUGAAAUGCGUAGAGAUCUGGAGGAAUACCGGUGGCGAAGGCGGCCCCCUGGACAAAGACUGACGCUCAGGUGCGAAAGCGUGGGGAGCAAACAGGAUUAGAUACCCUGGUAGUCCACGCCGUAAACGAUGUCUACUUGGAGGCUGUGCCCUUGAGGCGUGGCUUCCGGAGCUAACGCGUUAAGUAGACCGCCUGGGGAGUACGGCCGCAAGGUUAAAACUCAAAUGAAUUGACGGGGGCCCGCACAAGCGGUGGAGCAUGUGGUUUAAUUCGAUGCAACGCGAAGAACCUUACCUGGUCUUGACAUCCACGGAAGGUCUCAGAGAUGAGACUGUGCCUUCGGGAACCGUGAGACAGGUGCUGCAUGGCUGUCGUCAGCUCGUGUUGUGAAAUGUUGGGUUAAGUCCCGCAACGAGCGCAACCCUUAUCCUUUGUUGCCAGCGGUUAGGCCGGGAACUCAAAGGAGACUGCCAGUGAUAAACUGGAGGAAGGUGGGGAUGACGUCAAGUCAUCAUGGCCCUUACGACCAGGGCUACACACGUGCUACAAUGGCGCAUACAAAGAGAAGCGACCUCGCGAGAGCAAGCGGACCUCAUAAAGUGCGUCGUAGUCCGGAUUGGAGUCUGCAACUCGACUCCAUGAAGUCGGAAUCGCUAGUAAUCGUGGAUCAGAAUGCCACGGUGAAUACGUUCCCGGGCCUUGUACACACCGCCCGUCACACCAUGGGAGUGGGUUGCAAAAGAAGUAGGUAGCUUAACCUUCGGGAGGGCGCUUACCACUUUGUGAUUCAUGACUGGGGUGAAGUCGUAACAAGGUAACCGUAGGGGAACCUGCGGUUGGAUCACCUCCUUACCAGAAAGAA